CACGUAGGGGGCGAGCGUUGUCCGGAUUUAUUGGGCGUAAAGAGCUCGUAGGCGGCUCGGUAAGUCGGGUGUGAAACCUCCAGGCUCAACCUGGAGACGCCACCCGAUACUGCCGUGGCUAGAGUCCGGUAGAGGAGCGUAGAAUUCCUGGUGUAGCGGUGAAAUGCGCAGAUAUCAGGAGGAACACCGGUGGCGAAGGCGGGUCUCUGGGCCGAUACUGACGCUGAGGAGCGAAAGCGUGGGGAGCGAACAGG
rnacentral:rRNA from 1 species